rnacentral:tRNA from 1 species
GGGUAGGUACCGAAGCGGUCAAACGGGGCAGGCUGUAAACCUGCUGGCUUACGCCUUCGGGGGUUCGAAUCCCUCCCUGCCCACCA